UAUAACACAGAGAUCCUCCUGCCUCCCAAGU
rnacentral:piRNA from 1 species